rnacentral:rRNA from 1 species
GACGAACGCUGGCGGCGCGCUUAACACACGCAAGUCGAACGGAAAGGCCUGCUUUCCCUUGUGGAUUGCGGGUACUCGAGUGGCGAACGGGUGAGUAACACGUGAGUGAUCUGCCCCCAACUUGGGUAUAAGCCUGGGAAACUGGGUCUAAUUCCCGAUAGGACUGCAGGGUGGUGCCUGUGGUGGAAAACGAUUUUCUAGUGGUUGGGGAUGAGCUCGCGGCCUAUCAGCUUGUUGGUGGGGUAAUGGCCUACCAAGGCGGCGACGGGUAGCCGGCCUGAGAGGGUGGACAGCCACAUUGGGACUGGGAUACGGCCCAGACUCCUACGGGAGGCAGCAGUGGGGAAUAUUGCACAAUGGGCGGAAGCCUGAUGCAGCGACGCCGCGUGGGGGAUGACGGCCUUCGGGUUGUAAACUCCUUUCGACCGCGAGGAAGCCACCUGGUUGGAAGGGUGGUGACGGUAGUGGUAGAAGAAGCACCGGCUAACUACGUG